UACGGGGGGGGCAAGCGUUGUUCGGAAUUACUGGGCGUAAAGGGUUCGUAGGUGGCCAACUAAGUCAUACGUGAAAUCCCUCAGCUUAACUGGGGAACUGCGUCUGAUACUGGUUGGCUUGAGUGCAGGAGAGGAACGCGGAAUUCCAGGUGUAGCGGUGAAAUGCGUAGAUAUCUGGAGGAACACCGGUGGCGAAGGCGGCGUUCUGGACUGCAACUGACACUGAGGUGCGAAAGCGUGGGGAGCAAACAGG
rnacentral:rRNA from 1 species